rnacentral:rRNA from 1 species
AUUGAACGCUGGCGGCAGGCCUAACACAUGCAAGUCGAACGCGUGGCGGACGGGUGAGUCAUGUCUGGGACACUGCCUGAUGGAGGGGGAUAACUACUGGAAACGGUAGCUAAUACCGCAUACCAUCCGAUGUUCCCAGAUGGGAUUAGCUAGUUGGUGGGGUAACGGCUCACCAAGUCCACGAUCCCUAGCUGGUCUGAGAGGAUGACCGGCCACACUGGAACUGAGACACGGUACAGACUCCUACGGGAGGCAGCAGUGGGGAAUAUUGCACAAUGGGCGCAAGCCUGAUGCAGCCAUGCCGCGUGUAUGAAGAAGGCCUUCGGGUUGUAAAGUACUUUCAGCGGGGAGGCGUUACCCGAAGAAGAAGCACCGGCUAACUCCGUGCCAGCAGCCGCGGUAAUAC